UCAAAUUCAUAUCUACAUAAGAAGAACACACAAACUUUCAGGGAUGGAGUUGAAUGUCUUUAAAAUGUGAGGCUAAUGGAUGCACUAAAUGAUAAUGAUGAGGAAGCUUUACCCAGAGAUACA